rnacentral:rRNA from 1 species
UACAGAGGGUGCGAGCGUUGUCCGGAAUCACUGGGCGUAAAGGGCGCGUAGGUGGCCCAGCAAGCGUGCGGUGAAAGCUCGGGGCUCAACCCCGGGUCGGCCGUGCGAACUGCGGGGCUGGAGCACUGUAGAGGCAGGCGGAAUUCCGGGUGUAGCGGUGGAAUGCGUAGAGAUCCGGAAGAACACCGGUGGCGAGGGCGGCCUGCUGGGCAGUUGCUGACACUGAGGCGCGACAGCGUGGGGAGCAAACAGG